AGAGAGUUCAUUAUUUUUUGGCAUUGAGUGCAAAAAAAAGUUAAAUUAAUGUAAGGAUUGGUUGGUGAAUAGUCUUAACUGCAUUUAUGUUCUUAGUUGCUACUGCCUUAAUGAUGUCCCAAACUUUUGAACAUUUAGAAUACCUAGAUUUCCUUUAAGCCAUCAUUUGAUUAGUGGGAAACAGAAGAAUUAAAAAGUUCAAAGAUAUGACGAACCCUCGAAAGUUGGUUAAAUCAGUAGCCUCAACCACACCAAAUUGUUUCAUAUUGCUUAGUUUCUUUCAGUAGAAUUUCUUAUUUUCUUAGCUACAAAUAAUAAAGAUGUUAACUUUUCAAACAUUGCACCUCUCAGCAGCUAUAGAGAGUCUAGUGGUAAUUCUGGUUGUUAUAAAGAGUAGAAGAUGAAGAAAAUGAACUGACACUGCUUUGUAAAAUCAAUACUAUAUCUGUCAUUAGGUUAUCAUACGGAAUUGUUAAAGGUUUUGACUUUUGUUUUUUGGCAGGUUAUCUCUAAUGACAAGUUCAAGGCUGCCGAACACCGAGUGCUGGCUAAUUGUGCUGGACCUAGAUUGUCAGUGGCAUGCUUCUUCACAACACAUUUUGAGCCAUCCGAGAAGCUUUUCAGCCCCAUAGAGGAGUUGUUAUCAGAUGAUAGUCCUACUUUGUAUAGGGGCACCUCUGUAAAAGACUACAUUGACUUCUUUGGUUCAGCCGGACUUCCAGAUGACUCAUCACUCGCUCGUUUGAGGUUGUAAAGGUGGAAUUACCUAGGUGGUGUGUGCAUGCCGAUGCAAAUCUCUGCGAAAAUUCAGUAUUCAAAGAAAUUAUACGACAGUUGGAGGACAUAUUUAAAACACGAACGCUAAGGCAGCCUCUUCAUCUCUCUCUUCUCAGGAAAAUGGUCUGUCCUUCUACCAUUUUGACAUCGUCAAUGUAAUGUCUAUAUUUGGAUUUCCAUUAUUUAUAUGAAAUGAAAAGGACUGUUUGGAAUAAGUGCAAAUCUAUAAUUGUCACCCUUUAUAUACCUAUACUGUCAAGGAUGUUUUUGAAUGGGUUAACAAUUUCUUGAUAUUGAAUGCAGCAGAGUUGUUUGUGUUAACAAUUUCUUGAUAUUGAAUGCAACAAAGUUGUUUGUGUUAACCAUUUCUUGAUACUGAAUGCAACAGAGUUGUUUGUCAUUUGUGGGAUAAAUGGAUAUGCACUAAGACUGCCAUGAAAGCAGCGCUGUUGUCAGCUUAAGAAAAGCAGUGCCCUGAAGAAAGGAACUAACUGCAAAAAGAAAGAAACAACCUCUUGCAAAGUUUUUUUUUUUUUUUUUUUUUAAUAAUGGCCGAGAAAAGGAAUUGCAGCCCCCUAAAAAGCUGAAAUGGCUUGUGAUGAGUCACAUAUAGUGGGUACAAAUAGGAGAAACAAAUUCUUUGGAAACUUUCAAAAGAGUGAUGAACAUCUAGUAUUAAAAACCUGUCAGGGAUCUGAGCUGAUCUACUACUUCUAGUCAUUGACAGCAAACAGAAGGUGUUUCUGGUAUUUGCUAAUGUUUUGCAGUCAUAAUAUAUGAAAUUUUUUCUUGGCAUUAUUAAGUACAAAAUCUGCAAUUAUGUCAACUGAUUAACUAGAUCGGGAUAAUCUACUAGAAUCUUUGUUUUGUUUUUUAGAGAUUUGAUGACGGUUGAGUUUUAAAGGAAAUCUAAUUAUGAGUUGAUCAGAUGAAAAACAAAACUUGUUUCAAUCCUAAGCCUACAUUGCGGUGGAGUUAGAGGCAUAAUUCCUGGGACAAUUCUAGCCUUCUUCGAAUCCCAGCUACAGGUUUGGUUGCUCAACUUUUCAUGCUUUCUUUUACUCUUUAUAUGAGACCAAAGCUAAGAAUGUUGACUGAAACAUUUCAACUGACAAUUGAGUUCUAUAUAUAUUAAUAUAUAUUCCUGCUAUAAUAUUAGCUCAUAAUUUUCGUUGCACAGAAGCUUGAUGGUGAAGAUGCAGGGAUGUUGGCUACUUUGAAUUUCAUCUUGGGGACUAAUUUCAUCUGGAGGCCUUGGGACUGCUAUGCUUGCAACACCAAAUGAAAACGAUCGACCAAUUGUUACAGCAAAAGUAAUCAAUGAGUUUUAUUUUCAAGAAAGUCAGAAAAUUUUUCCUGAGGAACCUGAACAAGGCAACCAAUUUCUUCAAAUGUAGAUAGCUACCACGAGGAUGAAUAUUUUAUUUUUUAUCUUGGAAGAAUAAGCUUUGAAAAAGGAUGAAAAUUUCUUUAAGGGUAAGCAACUGACUUUUCUUUCUCGUCAACAGGCAUGAUGGCAUAAGUUUUGAAAAAGGAGGAAAAUUUCUUCAAGGGUAAGCAACUGACUUUGCUUGAGCUGGCAUGAUGCAAUAACAAAUGGGGUGAAAUCAAAGUGGGCAAAUUAUGGAAGGCCAGUUUAUCAAUCAGUUGAUGGUUUCAUACAAUGGGUAGAAAAAGAAGCAUUUUGUCUCUUUUUUUUUUCUUUUUUUUUUUUCCCCUCCUUUUUCAGUGGAGAACAGCUGCAUGAAUGGAAGGCAAAAGGAAAGAUAUAAUUUUAAUUUUUUAUAGGAUUAAUUUAUUUAUUAUCUUUAACCAUGUCUCCGUCUUAGAGCAUUUGAUCAAUUCUAUAUGUUUUAUGAUCGUGCAUGCAUGUUAUAAAAUAUAGCAUCGUGGUUUGGAUAUCAUCUUUUAAUAAUAAAAUGAAUUUUGACAUAUUUUUUAUAUAAUAAAAUAUUUUAAGUUUAGUGGUAAGAGUACUAUUUCAUAGUUUUGGAGGCUUGGUUUAAAUUCAAUAGUCACUUAAUUUUAUUUUUUAAAUAUUUUGUACAAAUUACUUAGAAAAAUAAGGAUAGUUUCAUAAAUGCGGCCACAAUUAGCUUCAUCAUUUAAAAUGAAUAAUUUACUACUAUUUAUUUUUUAAAAUUUAAAAGAAUAUAACAGAAUUUGACUUUUGAGACUUUAAAUGUGUUUAAGUGAACAGUAAAAACAAAAAAUUAAGCACUCCAAAUAAAAUUAAAACUUUUUGAAUUAAACCCCCUAAUUUAAGUGUUUGGGUAUGCCACUGGCCAACUUGUUUAUGUACUCAUCAUGCAAUGGCCACUGGUGCUCACUAUAUCAUCUUUAAAUUAAUUAUCUUUCAUAAUGCAUUUCAAAUACUUUUAUGAUGUGGUUUUAUUUGAAAAGCUAAUAACAAUAAUAUACAAAGCAUUAUUUAGAAAGCACUUUAAUUUAGGUCUAAUUUUUUCCUUAUGUUCUGGUGAUGUAAAUAAUAGGGAGAAUGUAUGUUUCAUCCCUAAAUAGAUAUCAUAUUUAACAAUUACAUCCCUAUUAAAUUUUUAAUUACCCAUUUCAUCCCUCAUGUUAAAAGAUAAUAGAAUUAAUUAUGAAACUAAGGGCAAAACAAUCAUCCAAGGGUUUGAUAUUUUAAAAUUUAAAUUAAAACAUAACACCAAUCAUUAGGAUUAGGAGAAAAUGAAAAAAGUAUGUGCUCUUUUGGUAAUUACAUAGGACUAAUUUUUCUCAUCUUCUAUUUAAUUUUGACACCACACUACUUAGAAAUGUCAUAAAAUCCUCUUAGGAGAGGUGGAAUAAUAAAUGAACAAAAAAUGGUUAAUUUUAUGUGUUUUUCUAAAUGAAAAGGAUAAAACUAAUAAUAAAAAAUCUAAUUAAAAUAUAAGUAAUAAAUAUAACAUCUAUCAAGAAUAAAAUAUACAUUCUUCCUUAAUAAUAUUGGAUAAUUUGAGUAAAUAUAAUAUUUACAUAUCAAAAUAAAAUAGUAGAAAGGGGUGUGGCGUUGGUGGUGUAGUGCCUGCUUAUAAUAUUUACAUAUAAAAUGUUUUGGAGAUUCAAACUGAAGCAUUUGAAAGUCUUUGGAAGGUCAAAGUUCGACCAAUAAACUAAUUUUGGUCAAAAAAGUUUCAGUGUACAUUGGUUAGGAAUGGCAAUUUUUGGGUUUGGGUCCGGGUUCGGGUUCGGGUUCGGCCUUUCCCGAUCCAAACCCAGACACACAAUUCUCUGUACCGGACCUGGAUUUGAACCUGAUUUUUUCAAUGCGGGUCUGGACCGGGUUCAACAGGGAAAAAUUUGGGUUCUGGGUUUUGAACUCGGAUUGCUUAAACUAAAUUUGUUAUGGAAAAAAUCAAAUACAAAUCAUAUGACAUAUCCAGGUUCUAAAACAAAUUCAAUACAAAUAUAGAAUCUGAAAUUCAAAGUUUCAAAGCAAUAAACAUCCACAAAUACAAAUCCAUAACAUAAAUCUACAAUUCAAAGUUCAACUUCAAACCACUAGUCUAAAGACUAAACUCUCAAUCAUCUACUUCAUUUGACUGUUGCUCACUCAUCAAACUUUCAUCAAUCAAAUGCUGCGCAAAAAGUAUUGCUUCCUCUAGAAUUCCAUCUAAAAGAAAUGCAUAAAUCAUAAACAUAAUGAACAAGACAACCAAUUAGUGGUAAAUUGAUAAUAAAAAUACUACAACAAAUUCAUUUGAUUAUAAUCAAUCAGAACUACUCUGCCGCCACCACCUCGUUUUUGUGAAGUGACAGGACUAGUAUUACCCCUACGACCACGGCCAGGACUAAUCCCUCAAACUGCUACUGAUGAAUUUAGUUCUAAUUCAACAGUUGUAUCAUCAUUAUUUUAUGCUUCUGUCCUUAACCUCACACACACACACUUUCGUCACUCUUUUCAAAGACAUCUAGAUUGAUUCUUUGUUCAUUUUCCAUCAUGAAUUUGUCACCACACAAAAAUUAUGUCAAAGACAUAAUUAAUUCCAUAAUUAACAACUAAUCUAGCAACUUCUUUCAAUUUAUAUGCUAUUUUUAACUGUAAAAACUAUACAUAUUUUGAAGAUACCAUUUCUAUUCUAUUAACAACAACAAUAAAAAAAUAAACUAUAAAUAAUAAAAUUGAAACAUAGCAGAGCAUAGAUAUUAAAAUCACAGAGUAUAGAUAUUAAAAUUGUAAAGAAAGUAUAAAUAAUAAAAUCAAAGCAUAACAGAGCUUAAAUUGCAAAGAGAAAAGCCAAGACUCACAAGUAUUCAAUAAGGCGGCUUAUGAAUAUGCUGAUGAACACAGAACACAACCGCAAUCAAGGUGGAUUUCACCCCGUUUUGCGGGUCGCGACAAGUAAGGCUGGUGAUGUUGAGAGACAAACACAGCCGCACCACGAAGGUGGUGACAGCCGAGGUGAUGAAGACAGUGAUUAAUCUGAUUUAAAGAAGAGAAUUAGAGGAGAACUAAAGAGAGAGAGUGAGAGACUAAGAGAGGAAAUGGCAUAUUUGGCAGUCGCGGCAGCAAGGAGUGUUACGCUAGUACUAGGGCUUCUUUUUUUAAUUUUUCUAUUUAUAUUAAAUAAAUUCUAAAAAAUUGAUAUUAAAAUAAAAAAUAUUCGGAUCUAGGUUCAGAAUUUGCGAGUUCACCUGAAUCUGGAUCCAGGUUCUGGAUUUGCAGGUUCACUUGAAUCCGAAUCUAGACUCGGAAAUAUAUGGGUUCUCAAAAUUUCAUUCAGAUUCUAGAUGAAAAUUGAUUUGGUGCGAGUUGAAUCUGAAUGAAAUUUUUUGGGGUUCAAUCCAAAUCUAGACUGAGUUCGGAUUUGAUUGUCAUCCCUAACAUUGGUGAUGUUAUAUAAAAGAAUUAAGUGGGGAGCAUUAAUUUUUGAAUUUUAAUGCUUUUGACCAACACUUUGUGUUCGCAAUCGAGAAGUAAAUGAAAGAAGCUUUAAUGCUUUGUGUUAUCAAGUAAUCAAAGAAAUAGUCUUGUUAUGUUUUGAGUAGUGAUGACACUCUAAUUUGUCACCAACAAAUAUGUUUGAUCAUUUUAAAGAAAAUAUUUUUCAAACAAAUUAUAAUUUUGAAUAUGAAUGCAAUCAUGAUAAAGCUUAUGCUUUCAUGUCAAAAUGGCUUUGAUUGAAAAGGUUAUAUCUUCAUAUACAUCUUUUCCAAGACCAAAUCUUAGGAGAUAUCAGUUAGAAAAUGUAUUAUGAUUACACAAAAUAUAUAAAUCAAACUAGGAAAUAGAACUGCGCUUCGUGCGGCUUUAAACAAAGAAUUUAAUAUUAUUAUUUUUUCUUACUUUACACUUGAUGAAACUGAUCAAAAAUAUGAAUUGAUUUUUUUUUUAAGAUGAGGCAACCUUAUAAAACUAAUGUUAUUUAUUAAAGUUAAUUAUUUUUUUGUUAACUUUAAAAAUAUAUAUUAAUGUGUAUAGUAUAAGUGUACAGACCUUAUACCUUUUGUAGUUGUUGAUAUGUUCCAAAUUAUAUUCAACUUGCUAAUCUAUUAUAACUUUUAUAUCUCUUUUUUUCCAACCAGCUCCAACGAUCUCAAUAUCACCCAUACCACAAAAACUUCCGAUAACAUCUGUAAUAUUAUGGAAAAAUAACAUAAACAUGUUAAAACAUAAGGAUCAAUAAUUUCUAAUAUUCACUUAAAGAUUAACAAACAUUAAUAAUUAAAAAAAUAUAUGAGAGGAUUGUGUUAUCAUUCACACGUGUAUUAAUCAAAUUCGCAGAUAUGAAUUGGAAUCCAUUGAUCGGAAUCUUAACAAUUCAUUCUUCUAACCUCUUAAGCGAAGUUAUAACCAAGAAAAUAAUCUUAUACUAAUUUGAAAGUGGUUUGUACUAUCCUAUAGUUGAAACAACUUUUAAAUUCUUGACACUGUACAAAGAACCCUCACUCAACAUAUGCCUAAACUUUGUCACUAAAUUUUUCCUGAUUGUUGCAGGCAUUAGAUUUUCCUACGAAAAAAAAUGCUACAUUAAGUGUAAAACAAUUGGGAAAAAAAUUAGAGAAAACAAUGGGAGAAAGAAUUUUUUAUACAACAUUUUCAUCAAUAAAAAUCAUGUUCACACUAAUAAAUUCUCCAUCCUUCUUGGUAUUAACAGACUCCCACAUCCUACAAAGCCUAACCCUUAUCAUCCAAUUAUCUUUAUCAUUGUUCAACUCAUGAAGAAAAUAGUACUCCAUGAAGCACACAAUACUAAAAAUUCAAAAUAAGUCAAAAAAUAAAAAUACAAGAAUAUUUCUAAAGAGGAUGUUGGUUAAAUAAUAUAAAAAAACUCAAACAUAACAAAUCUUAAAUACUUAAUGUUUAUAGAGUUUGAAUAAGCCAAAAUACACUAAACAAAAGGUUGUAUAAUUGAAUAUGAGAUUAUGACAUUAAAAUUAGGCUCUAGUGGCAUUGGUGAGGGAAGAUGAAAGAACCUUCUUUCCUAUAUUAAUUAGUUGAUGUAUUUUAAGCCACUAAAGUUUAGUUGUUGACUUAAUAAAAUAAAUGAAUAUUUCAAGACUUAUAAUUAAUUAUUAUUAAUGGUUACAUAUUGUUGAAUUUAAAUAGAAAGAGGAAGAGACAUGUAAUCUUUUGUAAUCUAAUAAUUAUUUUUUUAUUUAUUUUCUAUUUUUAAUAUUUUGUAAUGUAAUUAUUUUUUAAUCUCAACCAAUAAAUUAGAUAAUAGAGAAUAUAAAAAGAUGAGAAAUAAUGAUGCCACAAAUAUUAAAUACUUAAUGUUUAUAAAGUUUGAAGAAGCCAAAAGGUACUAAACAAAAGGUUGCAUAAUUAAAUAUGAGAUUAUGACAUUAAAAGUAGGCACUAAUAGUAUUAUUGAGGAAAGAUGAAGGAACCUUCUUUACUAUAUUAAUUAAUUGAUGUAUUUUAAGCCACUCAAAUUUAAUUAUUGGCAUAAUAAAAUAAAUGAAUGUUACAAGACUUAUAAUUAAGUAUUAUUAAUGGUUACAUAUUGUUAAAUUUAAAUAGAAAGAGAAAGAGAGACAUGUAAUAUUUUGUAAUCUAAUAAUUAUUUUCUAUUUUUAAUAUUUUGUAAUCUAAUUAUUUUUUAACCUCAACCAAUAUAUUAGAUAAUAAAGAAUACAAGAAGAUGAAAAAUAGUGAUAUCACAUCACCUCUUGUAGUCUCAACUUUAUAUAUAUAUAUAGAUAUGCUACAGCCUCUAAUGAGCAAAGAAUCCAUUGCAUCCCUUCUCUUCCGAAAUAACUCAAUUUUUUUUCAAACAAUAAAAAAAAAAAAAAAAUCUUUGGACCUUUCCUAAAAAAUAAAUAAUAAAAAGAAAGAAUAGAUUAUGUGUAUUUUCAUAAUAGGGAUGGAGCAGUGAUGAUAGAAAAACUUAGAUGAUCAAAUUCAAACUUUUACUUGGACUCAUUCGAACUUAUGCAAGGUUUAUUUUAUUUUAAUGCGGGCUAUUUCAACUUAAGAUUUUGACUAAAAUUUAGGCAUAAAAUAGAAAUAAUUUAUUUAGUUCAAUACAAGAUCUAUGAAAAUUACUUACAAGACAUCAAAAUCCUAUUAAAAAAGGACUGAAAUUCAAGUGCCAUAUUAAAGUGAGAGAAUAUCUUGAUAAUAGGUUUUAAUGGUUCAAAUCUAUUGGAUUUUGUCAAAUUCAAGUCUAAUCUAUCAUAUAUUAGAUUUUAUAUUUUGGAGUCAAUCCAAUCUAAUCUCUUAUUAAAAUCUAAUAUAAUUCAAACCAAUAAAAAGUUAAAUUCAAUUUAACCCAAUCCGGUCAAUUCAUUCAUCCGAUUAAAAUAAAAAUUUACAAAUAAAAGUCUUCAAUUGUGCUUCAUACUCCUAAUUACUAGCAAUUGAAAAGAAAAUUCAAAAUAUCAUCCCCUUUAAUAUUUCAUGAUUCAUAUAUUUUAUUAUCAUAUAGCCGGAAAAAAAAACUGAAUUUGAAUAUUGGAAGUAAACAUUAGUUGCAACUUGCAGUUUGUACUCUAUAUUAUUAUUAUAUAUUUAUAGUUAUACAAAAUAAGGUUUUAUCGUUUUUAGCAAGUUAAAUAUAGAGUAACAUGUAUUUUUUUAAAACAAAUAAAAAAAUAAAAAUUAAUUGGUUGGGUUUGUUUAUAGGGAAAUUGUCAAUCGUAUACCAUUAAUUUAUUUCGUUAUCAAAUUUACUAUAACACUUUUAGGGUAUAUCAGUCGUUUACUCUAAGUUGAUAAAAUAUAGUUGUCGUCCAUCAAAUCGUUUGUUGCCGUUUAAAUAUGAUAAUCUGGUCUUUUCAUAUGAUACAAGUGAUAAUUUAAGAAUAUAUAAGUGAUAAUAAAAUAUUUUAAAGAUAUACAAGUGAUAAUUUUUAAGUGUAAAAUUAUUAAUUCACUAUAGUUCCGUUAAUUUUUAAACUAUAACUAAUGAUUUAGUAAUCGACAGAUAACUUUUAUUAAUUUAUGGUGUAUGAUUGAUACACUAUUAAAAUAUUAUAAUAUUUUUUAUAAAAAUAUAAAUGUAAAGUAUACGAAUAAUAAUUUCUCAUGUUUACACGCACAAAUCUAUCAAUCAAUCCAAUGACAUUGAUUUUUUAUUUUACGGUCCAAUCCAAUCCAACCAAAAAGUCAAGGCAAAUGCUAAGUUACAAUAAUUGUAACAUACAUCUCUCAUGUGAACCACAUAAAUUAUGGGUCCUACAAUUUUAUGUGGUUCACAUUAGAAUGUAUGUUACAAUUAUUGUAACUUAGAGGCUCCCAAAAGUCAAUCCCAUAAAAACUAAAUUGGUUUAGAUCGUAUCUAUUGGUUUGAUUGGAGUUAAUUAGAUCUUGAGCACCCGUAGCGGUCGGUUUUCUGGUCGAGGGAGAACUCAGAGAUGCUCGAAAGGUAGACAAUGAAUCGAAAUUGUAAGCCCAAAAACAACUUUUUGUAAAUCUUAAUAUGCCCCUCAGCUCGUAGUUUUUUUUAAUCUUGUUUUCAUAUAAUUUUAGUGUUAUAUGAAUGAUCGUCUCGGCCCUACGAUUGAACUAAAUAAAUAACCAAACUUAUGUUUCGAUGCCUUCAGUAGAGGAUUCAAGGGGAAUAGUUGAAUUGUUAUCGAUAAUAUUCUUAAUCUCUUGAAGAACGUUUUAACAUGAGAAUUUUGUGCUUGACACUUUCUUUGAAUGGGUAAAUAUUUCAUUUGUCUGAAUCCAAAAGUUGCAUGCAACCUAGUUAUUCGGAAAGUACUUUGAAUUCUUUGUUUUCCUUUUGCCCACUUUCUGCAAGAAGCCCAAGCAUACCUGCAAAAUGGGGGAGCAACCGGGGAUAAUUGUCUUAUUUGGCUAAAUAGUCUGUAUAAGUCUUUUCUUAUCCUGAGGAAGUGUCACAGUUUCCAGUGAGUGCCUCGGGCGUUUUUGUCACUAGUUGUAGAAAAUGUUUAUCAUUUAGAAUUCAGGACAAGAUGAUUGUAGAAAAUAUAGAUAUUUUGGGUUUCUAAUGAGAGAAUUGUAUUAAUUCUGCAACAGGCCAUCCGCACCGAAAAGUAGCCUGCUUUAUCCCAUUUGUCUCUUUUUUGUUCCCCCCCUUUUUAGUGGAGAACCUCUGCAUAAAUUAAAGGCAAAAGGAAAGAUAUAAUUUUAAUUUUUUUAUAGGAUUAAUUUAUUUAUUAUCUUUAACCAAUGUCUCCAUCCUAGAGCAUUUGAACAAUUCUAUAUAUGAGUGUCUUCGCUCUUUGCUUUCAAUUCAUAGAGACAAUGACCUCCAGUCUGCAGCAAAUUAUGGCUUCAACAGGAAAUGGACUUGAUUAUGACAAAGAACAAGAGUUGAAGACCUUUGAUGAUACAAAAGCUGGAGUUAAAGGUCUGGUUGAUUCUGGUAUACAGUCAGUUCCCAAGUUCUUUGUUGCAUCAUCUGAGGAAACUUGCAAUGAGAAGUCAGAUCUAAGGCACACCCACUUCAAUGUUCCAAUUAUAGACCUCAGGGACAUUGAUAAAGAUGGUGCUCGGUGUGAAAUAGUCAAAGAAAUUGGCAUUGCGUCUAGCACAUGGGGAUUCUUCCAGGUUGUGAACCAUGACAUUCCUCAAGAUAUUACGGAUGAGGUUAUUGAAAGUAUACGAAGAUUCAAUGAGCAACCAAACCAUGUGAAAGAAAAAUUUUACUCCCGUGACAAGAUGAAGAAAGUGAGGUUCAAUAGUAAUUUUGAUUUAUAUAAGGCAAGAUUUGCUAAUUGGAGGGACACCUUGUCUUGUCUCAUGGCUCCUAAUCCUCCACCUCCUGAAGAAUAUCCGGAGGCGUGCAGGUAUGCAUUCCUCCACCUCCUGAAUAAUAUCCAGAGGCGUGCAGGUAUGCAUUCUGUUUUAUAAUUGUUAUGCUUAAUGAUGCACUUCAACAAUAUAUGUCUGUUCCUCUGCAGAGAGAUACUGUUGAAGUUUUCAAAAUAUGUUACAAAACUAGGUCAGGAUUUGUUCAAGUUACUUUCGGAGGCACUUGGCCUCAACUCUAAUCACCUAACGAACAUGGGUUGUGCUGAUGGACAUGUCUUUUACUGUCACUACUAUCCGGCUUGUCCUGAGCGAAACCUGACUCUUGGACAUACCAAACACCGUGAUCCAGAUUUUCUCACUAUCCUUCUGCAAAAUCAGAUUGGUGGUCUGCAAGUUCUUCAUGAUAAUCAUUGGGUUAAUAUUCCUCCGGUGGAAGGAGCUCUAGUAGUCAACGUUGGGGAACUCUUACAGGUGUGUAAAGUGCAGAGAGUUCAUUAUUUUUUGGCAUUGAGUGCAAAAAAAAGUUAAAUUAAUGUAAGGAUUGGUUGGUGAAUAGUCUUAACUGCAUUUAUGUUCUUAGUUGCUACUGCCUUAAUGAUGUCCCAAACUUUUGAACAUUUAGAAUACCUAGAUUUCCUUUAAGCCAUCAUUUGAUUGGUGGGAAACAGAAGAAUUAAAAAGUUCAAAGAUAUGACGAACCCUCGAAAGUUGGUUAAAUCAGUAGCCUCAACCACACCAAAUUGUUUCAUACUGCUUAGUUUCUUUCAGUAGAAUUUCUUAUUUUUCUUAGUUGAAAAUAAUAAAGAUGUUAACUUUUCAAACUUUGCACCUCUCAGCAGCUAUAGAGAGUCUAGUGGUAAUUCUGGUUGUUAAGAAGAGUAGAAGAUGAAGAAAAUGAACUGACACUGCUUUGUAAAAUCAAUACUAUAUCUGUCAUUAGGUUAUCAUACAGAAUUGUUAAAGGUUUUGACUUUUGUUUUUUGGCAGGUUAUCUCUAAUGACAAGUUCAAGGCUGCCGAACACCGAGUGCUGGCUAACUGUGCUGGACCUAGAUUAUCAGUGGCAUGCUUCUUCACAACACAUUUUGAGCCAUCCGAGAAGCUUUUUAGCCCCAUAGAGGAGUUGUUAUCAGAUGAUAGUCCUCCUUUGUAUAGGGGCACCACUGUAAAAGGCUACAUUGACUUCUUUGCUUCAGCCGGACUUCCAGCUUACUCAUCACUCACUCGUUUGAGGUUGUAAAGGUGGACUUACCUAGGUGGUGUGUGCAUGCCGAUGCAAAUCUCUGCAAAAAAUCAGUAUUUAAAGAAAUUAUACAACAGUUGGAGGACAAAUUUAAAACAUGAACGCUAA
rnacentral:lncRNA from 1 species